rnacentral:rRNA from 1 species
UACGGGGGGGGUAAGCGUUGUUCGGAAUUACUGGGCGUAAAGCGUGCGCAGGCGGUUUUGUAAGUCUGUCGUGAAAUCCCCGGGCUCAACCUGGGAAUUGCGAUGGAGACUGCAAGGCUAGAAUCUGGCAGAGGGGGGUAGAAUUCCACGUGUAGCAGUGAAAUGCGUAGAGAUGUGGAGGAACACCGAUGGCGAAGGCAGCCCCCUGGGACCUGACUGACGCUCAUGUACGAAAGCGUGGGGAGCAAACAGG